rnacentral:rRNA from 1 species
UACGUAGGUCCCGAGCGUUAUCCGGAUUUACUGGGCGUAAAGCGUCUGUAGCCGGAUAGUUAAGUCUACUUUCAAAUACCGCAGCUCAACUGCGGACAGGGAGUAGAUACUGGCUAUCUAGAGUAUUUUGGAGGUUAGUGGAAUUUCCGGUGGAGCGGUGAAAUGCGUUGAUAUCGGAAGGAACGCCAAAAGCGAAAGCAGCUAACUAUGAAAUUACUGACGGUGAGAGACGAAAGCUUGGGUAGCAAACGGG